CGGGGUGUAGUAUACCGGCAGUAUGCAUGCUUUGGGUGCAUGAGGACCGGGUUCGAUUCCCGGCACCCCGACCA
rnacentral:tRNA from 1 species